UACGAAGGGGGCUAGCGUUGCUCGGAAUCACUGGGCGUAAAGGGUGCGUAGGCGGGUCUUUAAGUCAGGGGUGAAAUCCUGGAGCUCAACUCCAGAACUGCCUUUGAUACUGAGGAUCUUGAGUUCGGGAGAGGUGAGUGGAACUGCGAGUGUAGAGGUGAAAUUCGUAGAUAUUCGCUAGAACACCAGUGGCGAAGGCGGCCAACUGGUCCGAUACUGACGCUGAGGUGCGAAAGCGUGGGGAGCAAACAGG
rnacentral:rRNA from 1 species